rnacentral:rRNA from 1 species
CCUACGGGGGGCAGCAGUAGGGAAUCUUUCACAAUGGGCGAAAGCCGGAUGGAGCAACGCCGCGUGCAGGAUGAAGGCCUUCGGGUUGUAAACUGCUUUUAUAAGCGAGAAAUAUGAUGGUAACUUAUGAAUAAGGAUCGGCUAACUACGUGCCAGCAGCCGCGGUCAUACGUAGGAUCCGAGCAUUAUCCGGAGUGACUGGGUGUAAAGAGUUGCGUAGGUGGCAUAAUAAGUAGCUAGUGAAAUCUGGUGGCUCAACCAUUCAGACUAUUAGCUAAACUGUUAAGCUCGAGACCGUUAGGGGUAACUGGAAUUUCUAGUGUAGGAGUGAAAUCCGUAGAUAUUAGAAGGAACACCAAUAGCGUAGGCAGGUUGCUGGGACGGUUCUGACACUAAGGCACGAAAGCGUAGGGAGCAAACGGGAUUAGAUACCCGAGUAGUC